UACAGAGGUCCCGAGCGUUGUUCGGAUUCACUGGGCGUAAAGGGUGCGUAGGUGGUGAGGUAAGUCGGAUGUGAAAGCUCCAAGCUCAACUUGGAAAUGGCAUUGGAAACUACCUUGCUAGAGGGUUUGAGGGGGGACUGGAAUACUUGGUGUAGCAGUGAAAUGCGUAGAUAUCAAGUGGAACACCAGUGGCGAAGGCGAAUCCCUGGAAAAUACCUGACACUGAGGCACGAAAGCUAGGGGAGCAAACAGG
rnacentral:rRNA from 1 species